rnacentral:rRNA from 2 species
GCAGAAUUCCGCGAAUCAUCGAGUCUUUGAACGCAAGUUGCGCCCGAGGCUUGCCGAGGGCAUUUCCGCUAGAGCGUCACC